rnacentral:lncRNA from 13 species
AUGAUGCCACUUAAACGAGAUAUAAGGUCACAUCAUCUAAUCUUAGCAAAACGUUCAUUUGUUAGACUGAGUCUUGCUCUAUCACCCAGGCUGGAGUGCAGUGGCACGAUCUUGGCUCACUGCAACCUCCGCUUUCCACGUUCAAGCGAUUCUCAUGCCUCAGCCUCCCGAGUGGUUGGAAUUACAGACACCUGCCACCACCCCUGGGUAUCUGUCCUUCCAUUAGCCCCAGCUAUAAGAAGGUUCUACUCAAGAUUUACUGCAGGUUCCCUGCCUUCUCGUAGUCCUAACAUGAACCCAAGACAUUCCACAGAGCACACAAAGGAUCCUGAGCUAUCCCAGUGUCUGGGCUGGAAAGAGAAGAGGCUUCUGCUACCUUAUCACACUGAAGAUAUGCUUUCCCUGAGAGUGGAAUUCUUGGUUGCCAUUACAUCAAACUGAGACGAAUCCACUAUCUUCUUGGUUGCCAUUACAUCAGAUUGAGAAGAAUCCACUAUCUUCUUGGUUGCCAUUACGUCAGAUUGAGAAGAACCCAAUAUCUUCUUGGUUGCCAUUACAUCAGAUUGAGAAGAACCCACUAUCUUCUUGGUUGCCAUUACAUCAGAUUGAGAAGAACCCACUAUCUUCUUGGUUGCCAUUACAUCAGAUUGAGAAGAACCCACUAUCUUCUUGGUUGCCAUUACAUCAGAUUGAGAAGAACCCACUAUCUUCUUGGUUGCCAUUACAUCAGAUUGAGAAGAACCUACUAUCUUCUUGGUUGCCAUUACAUCAGAUUGAGAAGAACCCACUAUCUUCUUGGUUGCCAUUACAUCAAAUUGAGAAUAAUCCACUAUCUUCUGGCUUCUAUUGCUACUACUGAGAAGUCAACUUGAGACACUUAUUCUUUUAAAGAUAAUAUAUCUUAUUCUCUGGCUGCUUUUAAGAUUUUUCUCUUUGUAUCUGGUGUUGUACAGUUUUCAUGUGAUGUGUCUAGGUAUAGAUAUCUUUUCAUUUAUGCAGUUGGGGACAAAUUCUGAAAGAGCUAUAAUACUAGUUAUGACAUUUUUAUUUCUAGAGGUUUUCUGUUUUGUUCUUUCAUCAAAUUUGUAAUAUCAUUUUUAUAGUAUCCUAUUACUUAAAGUCAUUUUCAAACUUGUCUUCUACUUCUCUACAUAUAUUUCACAUGGUUGUUUUACAGGCUUUCUCCAAUAUUCCAAUAUCUGAAACAUUUGCAAGGCUUUUUCAUUUUGUUUUGUCUUUGUUUUUAUUGGUUCUUAUGCAUGUCAAUUUGUUUUCCUAUAGGCUUGGUUAUUUUUAGCAGUGCUAUGACCUUUCUACUUGAAAAAAAAAUGCAGGAAUGAUCUCAGGCUUUCUUCAUAGAAUACUUGGAUUUUCUUCUGUCGGGUGCCCAAAAGAAACAUCAAUCGAGAACCACCUGGUUUUGUCUUUUAUUGGAUUUCUCACCUUGUUUGAACCCUGGAGUUUUACCUCUGUAAUCCUCUUCUUACAUCAAAACAAUAGUUUAAAAGUGCAACAAUACCCUCAGAAGAAAAUAAGCUUCCAUGGUCAACUUUCCUUUCAAGAGUUCUGGUUUCUCUUUAGCUUCUCUAGUCAAUUCUUUUAUGUUUUGAUAACUUUUUAUCGGUUGUGCUGUAUAAUCUGGAAACAAAACCUUUGAGUGUGAUGAGACUGUGCAUUAUCCAACAUUACUAGGAUCAUAGAACUUUAAGGAUAUUUUAAAAUACAACCAGUUGAAUUUAAUUUUCUACAUGGUUUUAGCUGACUUGUAGCACCAGUUUAUGAGGUCUUUCUCCAGAUCUGAUAAAAUAUGAUUUAAAGUAAUAAAUGGUGGAAAAUGAAAGCA